UGUUCAAAAAUGUGAGUGAGAGUUAAGUUGCUACUUUCUGAUAGUCACUUCAGAGGAUUCAACAAAACUUUGCUUUCUGAGAAGAAAUCCAAAAGUGUUAUGUUUACGUUUGUAUCUUACAGUUCUCAAUUAUGUCUCAUAUAUAUAUAUAUAUAUAAGAAAUCAGAAUUCCCAGAUGAAAACUGGCCAGAACUGUGAAAUAAAAAAAUCACAAUUACCCCCUUCAUUCAUUGCUUCAGUGGUAAAUCAGAUUUAUUUCCUUUAUUAAAAAAUCAGUGUUACAUUUAAAUGGAUGGGUUUCAUGAAAAUAUGAAUUCAAUGUUUGCAGAUUAUAUCAUUAAACAAAUCAGCAUAAUUUCUUAGUUUACUUUAUGAUAGCUUUAGAUCUGUAAAUGGCUGAAACUUCUAGUGAUCAGAUGGAGACAAUUAUUGAGUAUUUCAGCACCAUAAACAGCCAGAGACAAAAGGGGUUAAAAUUCCCAGUCUCUCCUCUACUUUUAGGCAUACAUUAUGGACAUUAAUUUCUUUUUUGUAAGUUCGCCUGCUCUUACAAAUUCUACUAAUGGAGACAAUAAAGGAUGAACUUACUAAUUUAAUUUUGCUUUUGCAGGAAGACAACCUGUCGUAUCCUUUCAAGCUGUCCAUCACAGUUUUCUUAAUUGCACAUCUAUCUUUGUUUGCUCGGUUUAUGUUGCAUCUUAACGAAGCAUCUCAGUGGUCCUCCAAACCACUGCAGAUCCUGUUUCAUCUGUACGGCUGGUAUUUUGCAGUGUUCUUCAUCUCUGAGAUUCUUAUGUUUAGCUAUAAAGGUGAUGUAUGGGCUCAGUAAAGCAUCUAGAGGUUGAGAUUGUAUGUGUUGUAUUCAGUGCUCCUCUGUCGUUGCAGGGGUGAUCCUCCUUACCCACAAGCCAAUCUGAUAUUGGAUGUUGUCCUGCUGCUCCUCCUCUAGAGCCUGGAAGCCUGAACUCUUCUGGUCUAACAUUUAUUAAGUUCAUCUGCUUUUUUGAUGCCAGAAUGAAAAGACCGAACAGAAUAAACUUGCAGUCUAUCAAACUAAGAGCUGUCAACAUUGACCUUUUUACAAUACAUGACUACUCCAGGUUCCGGGCAAAAGUGGUCUCCAACCUUCUAGCAACUACCAAGAAAACAAGUGGACAUCAGCUCUUACCACGACCUGAGCUCUCUUGAAGCGUGGGCCACCGUCAAUGUACCUGAUGUCUCACAGGUGGGAGAACUGAAUAUGAAGAGGAACAGAUUCAGAUUCAAAUUAAGUGCAAUUCACAAUAUGAGCUGGAGAGAGCAAUGCUUACUUGCAUUUCAUUCUGAGAUGCAAAUAUCCGUGAAAGAAUGCGUGACUAUACAGAAUCUCAUUCUGUCAGAGCAGUU